AUCCAUCUGACGACUUCGAAAUAGGACGAAACACGCGUCCUGGAU
rnacentral:hammerhead_ribozyme from 1 species